rnacentral:rRNA from 1 species
CGUAGGGGGCAAGCGUUGUCCGGAUUUAUUGGGCGUAAAGAGCGUGUAGGCGGCUAGGUAGGUCCGUUGUGAAAACUCGAGGCUCAACCUCGAGACGCCGGUGGAAACCAUCUAGCUAGAGUCCGGAAGAGGAGAGUGGAAUUCCUGGUGUAGCGGUGAAAUGCGCAGAUAUCAGGAAGAACACCCGUGGCGAAGGCGGCUCUCUGGGACGUGACUGACGCUGAGGAGCGAAAGCCAGGGGAGCAAACAGG